GAUGAAGAACGUAGCGAAAUGCGAUAAGUAGUGUGAAUUGCAGAAUUCAGUGAAUCAUCGAAUCUUUGAACGCACAUUGCGCCCUUUGGUAUUCCAAAGGGCAUGCCUGUUCGAGCGUCAUUUGUGCCCUCAAGCUUUGCUUGGUGUUGGGCGUCUUGUCUCUAGCUUUGCUGGAGACUCGCCUUAAAGUAAUUGGCAGCCGGCCUACUGGUUUCGGAGCGCAGCACAAGUCGCACUCUCUAUCAGCAAAGGUCUAGCAUCCAUUAAGCCUUUUUUUCAACUUUUGACCUCGGAUCAGGUAGGGAUACCCGCUGAACUUAAGCAUAUCAAUAAGCGGAGGA
rnacentral:misc_RNA from 1 species